rnacentral:lncRNA from 1 species
AGCCAAAAUAUUUAAUUUAAUUUACAAUAACAAGAGGGUCCCCGAAUAAACAAAAGUAAAGAGGACUGUGAACCUACGGUUUGGAAAAUGCAGAUCCCACUGUAGUCCUCGAUGAGAUCAGCUAUCUACAGUCUAUACUGAACCUGAAAUGGGUAGAAAUGAGGGUGGUGAGAUUAUAAAAUCCCAAUGAGUAAAUAGACAUCAUCAUAAACAUCUAGAGUUGAGUACAUGGAGACAAUAAAGUAAAUCAUCAUAAACUGGGUUAUACAAUUAUAACACAUCUCGCUCAAAAUACGUAAAAAGGUUUAUGAAUCUCAUAAACAUUUAGGCUUGUGCCAUAAAUCCAUUCUCGGGGACACCUUGGCCAAGGCAUCCUACCGAGACCGCCAAGGCUAUUAAAAUUCACAUUUCACAUAAAUCAUGCUUUUGUUUGGAAAACAUAGCAAUUCCUUGGCGUUGACUGAGUUACCCAUCACGUCGUGGUUUAGCGUGAAGUGAACCCUAAACUUUACCCAGGAGAUACCCUACGCACCUCUCCGUUCGAGGUAAGAAUAUAAUGGGGUUUACCGUGCCCCUCUAAAAGGCUGGUCCACAUAAACCCCCUACUGCAGUGAUUAAUUAAUAUAUAAUCCACCGUAUAAUAAAACUCAAUAACAUGAUAUGGCAAUUUUGAAAUUCGCAGUUUUUCAAGGCAACCAAACAAUUCGCAUUUCAAUACAAUUGCCAACUAGCCAAUCAUGCUCGAUUUAUCAUAAAUCAGUCAAUUUAAACAAUCAAAUUGCCACAAUUAACAGUCUCCGUGUACUCUAUUUUUCAAAAUCACUAUUAAUUUCAAAACAAUUUAUAAUUUAAUUUCAUUGAAACUCAUUUAUUCAUAAAACAUGAAAAUUUAUCUUUUUAAAUUCCUUUUUCCAUAGAAUUCAUGAAAGCAUCUAAAAACCACCCUAGAUAAUUAAAAUGACAGUAAGUUUACUCACAAUGUCUAGAAUGCAGACUUUCGAAGCACUCUGUCUACUGGUCCUCGGAUGCAAUUUCCUUGCCUUUAUCGGAGGACUCACCACCUUGACACAGUACAAAAUCGAGAGUUUCACCAAGUUGGUACUAAAUCAAAAUUAAACUAAUUUAGACUACCAAUGCAUGAUAUGGAAUGCAAAAAUGCACUGGUAACUAUCUAAACCCGGUAUUGGCCUAAUUCGUCUUAUCACCCGAUUAAAUUCCUAACGGGUCCGUUUAAACUCCAAUUUAAUUCUUUUCAGUUUCUAUACCUCAAUUGCACCCAAAUUAACUUAAUGUCCCUCAGUGUGGUGCAAAUUAUCAGUCCCAACAGCAAAUUACGAAAAUACCCCUAGUGGGUAAAAAUUCGUAUUUUUGCUCCGAAAAUUCCCAUUAUUUUUCUAGGCUCAUAAUUCAUUAUUCCUUAACCAAUUCUCCUAGAAUAAAAUCAAACUCAUCCUCACUCACUACAUGGUAAAUUCAGCCAUUAAUGGUUGGGGGAGAAAAUAAAUUCUUUUCUUGUUGUUUUGUUUCUAAAUAUGCUAAACUAACUAAAAACACUAACAUAAAUUAAAAUCAAAUAAAUCCAACAACUUUCUCUCUCCUAACCCAUUUUUUCAGAAUUGAAUUCAUCAUGAAAACAUGUAAUUUAAUCAUGGAAAAUAAAGAGAAAUGCUUGGGAAUAAGAAAACUCAAGCUUAAUAGAAAAAAUCUCACAUUUUUCACUUAAUUUCCUUGAAAAUUCACACUUUUUCUUUGACUUUCUCUCUCUAGGUUUUUGUUUUUGUUUUCUCUCUCUUCUUGCUGGUUUG